rnacentral:rRNA from 1 species
UACGAAGGGGGCUAGCGUUGCUCGGAAUCACUGGGCGUAAAGCGCACGUAGGCGGAUCUUUAAGUCAGGGGUGAAAUCCCAAGGCUCAACCUUGGAACUGCCUUUGAUACUGGGGAUCUCGAGUCCGGAAGAGGUGAGUGGAACUGCGAGUGUAGAGGUGAAAUUCGUAGAUAUUCGCAAGAACACCAGUGGCGAAGGCGGCUCACUGGUCCGGUACUGACACUGAGGAGCGAAAGCGUGGGGAGCGAACAGG